rnacentral:rRNA from 1 species
AUUGAACGCUGGCGGCAGGCCUAACACAUGCAAGUCGAACGAGUGGCGGACGGGUGAGUAAUGUCUGGGAAACUGCCCGAUGGAGGGGGAUAACUACUGGACACGGUAGCUAAUACCGCAUACCAUCGGAUGUGCCUAGAUGGGAUUAGCUAGUAGGUGGGGUAACGGCUCACCUAGGCGACGAUCCCUAUCUGGUCUGAGAGGAUUACCAGCCAAACUGGAACUGAGGCACGGUCCAGACUCCUACGGGAGGCAGCAGUGGGGAAUAUUGCACAAUGGGAGCAAGCCGGAUGCAGCAAUGCCGCGUGUAUGAAGAAGGCCUUCGGGUUGUAAAGUACUUUCAGCGAGGAGGCGUUACUCGCAGAAGAAGCACCGGCUAACUCCGUGCCAGCAGCCGCGGUAAUUC